GUGUCGUGAGAUGUUCGGGUUAGGUCCCGUAACGAGCGCAACCCUUGCCUUAGUUACCAGCACGUUAUGGUGGGCACUCUAAGGAGACUGCCGGUGACAAACCGGAGGAAGGUGGGGAUGACGUCAAGUCAUCAUGGCCCUUACGGCCUGGGCUACACACGUGCUACAAUGGUCGGUACAAAGGGUUGCCAAGCCGCGAGGUGGAGCUAAUCCCAUAAAACCGAUCGUAGUCCGGAUCGCAGUCUGCAACUCGACUGCGUGAAGUCGGAAUCGCUAGUAAUCGUGAAUCAGAAUGUCACGGUGAAUACGUUCCCGGGCCUU
rnacentral:rRNA from 1 species